GUGGGGAAUUUUGGACAAUGGGCGCAAGCCUGAUCCAGCAAUGCCGCGUGCAGGAAGAAGGCCUUCGGGUUGUAAACUGCUUUUGUACGGAACGAAACGGUCCUGGUUAAUACCCGGGGCUAAUGACGGUACCGUAAGAAUAAGCACCGGCUAACUACGUGCCAGCAGCCGCGGUAAUACGUAGGGUGCAAGCGUUAAUCGGAAUUACUGGGCGUAAAGCGUGCGCAGGCGGUUUUGUAAGACAGGCGUGAAAUCCCCGGGCUCAACCUGGGAAUUGCGCUUGUGACUGCAAGGCUAGAGUGCGGCAGAGGGGGAUGGAAUUCCGCGUGUAGCAGUGAAAUGCGUAGAUAUGCGGAGGAACACCGAUGGCGAAGGCAAUCCCCUGGGCCUGCACUGACGCUCAUGCACGAAAGCGUGGGGAGCAAACAGGAUUAGAUACCCUGGUAGUCC
rnacentral:rRNA from 1 species